rnacentral:rRNA from 1 species
UACGUAGGGCGCAAGCGUUGUCCGGAAUUAUUGGGCGUAAAGAGCUCGUAGGCGGUCUGUCGCGUCCGUUGUGAAAACUCGAGGCUCAACCUCGGGCUUGCAGUGGAUACGGGCAGACUAGAGUGCGGUAGGGGAGACUGGAAUUCCUGGUGUAGCGGUGGAAUGCGCAGAUAUCAGGAGGAACACCGAUGGCGAAGGCAGGUCUCUGGGCCAUAACUGACGCUGAGGAGCGAAAGCGUGGGGAGCGAACAGG